CUUCACAGUUUCUGCGGUAAUGCUAAGGCCCGCGCCCCUCAGCUGCCAGCGCUGCGUGUUUUAGUAGCUGCAGGGAGGAAGAAUCGAGAUGGCUUCAGCAAAGCCCUCCACUUUGCUUGGGAGAAGGGGGCGUUUGUGGGCAGGGCAUUGCAUGGGAAACUGCAAUGUGCACUUGUUUGACCUGGAUCCCUGGUUCAAAUGCAUCCCCUGGUCCCUGCAGGUCCGGGGUGGGGCUGGAGCUUUUGUGUGUCUCAUCAGCUCCCAGGUGAGGCGUGAGGGCGCAGGGACGAGCACAGAGGAGGUCGGGAGCCCCGGGCUGGUGGGGGCGGCUUGCCCAGGUCUCGCUGGGCAGCUCGGAGCAGGUCCUGCCACCAAUCUAGGGGUCCAGUCUCAAGAUGUCCCAGGUUGUGGUAAGGACCCGAAAGGGAGGUGCACCGGCUUCUAGCCCAGGGCAGACCCUGUCAGGGGGGCUUCUAGGAGCGACGGGGAUGCCAGCGUCCGCCCUUCCAGCCCUGCUGGGAAAGCGUCACCGUGUUCUGAAGAAAGCAUCCUUUUUGUUCAUUCCAGAAACAUUUAUCGAGUGCCUAUGGCAUGUCAGGCACAGUUCAAGUUCUGAGGAUACAGAGUAAACAACAGGCAACAUCACGCCUCCUCGAGCUUCUGUUCUACUGGGAGUCAGGGUAGGAAGAGACGACAACAAGGUAAAUAAGUCAAAUCCGGACUGUGUUACUGACAAUGCAAGCUAGGAGAAAAAAGGAAGCAGGAGCAGAGAGGAGCCUGGGUGAUGAUGGAGAUGGGGAGUUUACUUAAAUAGGUGGCCAUGAGGCUAUCCAGCCUGUCCCAGGCGGACUUUUAGAAGACGGAUUGUUUAUAAGAGCCCAAAAGUAUAAGUUCUUAAAAAAAAUUAAUUUCUGAAUGUGUGAUGAGAACACAAAUUCCUCCACGACAGCCCUGUUUUUCCUGUGCUGCGUAGCUGAGCUCUGGGUCACGGCUGCCGAGUGCAGGCAACACUCGGGCAGUCCCAGGGCUGACCGACUGCGCAUCUGGACACUGGCAAUCACAGGGAAGGAGGCGAGAGCUCUGCCGGGUGCUUUGAGGCUGUCGCGUCAUGUCUUCCUCCCCACAGCGUUCUGCGGGGCCUGUCCCCUUGGUGUUGUGGCACCUCCUGGUCCUCGGCUCUGCUCUUGGGGAAGAAAGAGGACACUGUCACAGGUUCCUGUCCCCUCCAGCCAACAGGAGCAGCCACACGUGGCAUCUGCCCUCGAAGCUCUGUGGCAUCCCUGCCGUAGGAGAAGUUACCAAGAAACCCCCAGAGCCCACAGGCUGGAGCCCCCCCAGGUUCUGCUCAGCGGGGAGAGGCAGAUUGAGUCCAAAUUUUCCAUUUUAACUGGAAUCCUAGGGGUUAAACCUGGCUGUGACUUGGCAAUGGCCCCUUGUCCGUGCUGUUCCACAGGGGGUGUCCCCCUUCCCCAGGCCCUGCCCCAAUGUGGCUCCAGGGCCUCUGCUCCCAGCAGGUCUCACCUGGGACAGAGGUGGGGGUGGGGCAAGAGGAACCAAGCCAGGAAGCUGCAGAAAUAGCUCUGGGGGUGGGAGGGCGUGGUGCUGCCGAAGGCCGAACACCCACGCAGGGUGUUGUCUCUCCACCCUCCCAGGCCGAGGGGAUUUCUCAAACGCAGGCCUCCUUCCCAGGAGGUAGGCCUGUGUCCAGUGAGGGCCCUGCCCAUCCAGGCCUCUGUUUCCUGUCACUGUUCUCAAAAGCUGGGCCCAGCUGUGGCGGGGACAGCUAUGUCCGGCUGCCCGUGGUCCCUUGAGAACCGGCCAGGCUGCCCCUGUGCCUGGCACAUGCUCACCUGGACCCUCCAGCCAGCAUCUGGGCUCCAUCUGACCCCACCCCACAGGGCUCAAGCCAGCUCCAAGCAUGAGUGUGGCCGAGGCCAGGUCUGUCUUCAGGGUCCCUUCCUCAUCUCCACGGCCUUUUCCUGUCCCAGCUCACCCACAGGGGGCCAUUUCUGCCCCACACAGGACUCCCUGUGAACCAAGGCUGCACAUGCUUCUGGGUGCCCCUCUCUGGGCAGCUGGAGGGCAGAAGGAGCACCUGGCAGGUGGGUCCCAGGCCCGGCAGCAGGAGCUGCCUGCCAGACAGGACCAGAGGGGAUGGCAGUCCGCUCGGGUGAGGGGUCCACAGGCAGAGGGCGUGGGGGGCUAGGAGGUCUGGGGGCCUCUGGGGAAAGGGGGCCCCAGAAACCAAUGGGAAUUAUGGGAUCUCCUCAAAGAACAUGCUGGAGCAAGGCUCAGCUGCCCACUGCUGCCCCAAAAAGGCUCAGCUGCCCACUGCUGCCCCAACGGGAGUCACUGCUCACACAGAGACCGCUCCUUCCCCAGCCACUCCAGCCAGUGACUGGAUACGGUGCAGGCACUAGUCCCUAGAACCAGGCCAUUCCUGACCCACCAACUGCCCUGUAUGCAGGCCUCUCUCUGGGGCUUCUCAUCAGCCUAGCAGCACGGCUUUCUCAGGGCUUCCCUGGGUACGCACGUCCUCCUACCCAAUCCCCCUUCCCUCUCUCCCUGUCCCAGGUUCAGACCUGCAUCCUGGCUCGAGGCUGUCUCCCCAUCUGCCACAGGUGCUUCCCCCAACGGAUCUCUUGCCCCUCUCCUCCUGGCUUGGGGUCUGCUCACUGGAGGACCUGGAUGGACAUGACAGGGCUCAGACAGGACUUGGGAGGAGCUGUGAGCUCGCCAUCAGGGCCAGCCUUGAAGGACGGGUGUGGGCGUGUCCCCCAUCAGGAUCCCGCUGUGGGUCUCCUUCCUGCUGUGGGGGCUGAUGAAAGAUGCAGGCCAGACACCUGCACAUCUUUACCCUGUGCUCAGCAGCACCCCCUGACAGGGCACCCUCCCCACUACAUCCCCAUUCCAUUCCAAAGGAAGAGACCCUGAGGGUCUGGAAUGAAGAACCCCUUACCCCAGGUCAAACUGAUGUUGCUGGAAUCUUUGGUUGGGUCUCGACAUUACCCCAUAUGGGCAACAGAGAAGGACUGCCGAGAGCUGGGCAAGGCCCCAUGCCUGCUCCUCCUGCUUGUGCUCUCUAGAUCAGAGACCCUCCCAACCUCUCCCGUAGGGGCCUGACUCCUCCCUGGUAUGUCACCUUUGCUUGAUCUAGGCCUCUGGAGGGGCGGCAGCCUGUCUCCCCGCACCAGCUGGGGUUCUGGCCCUGGUGGUUGCUCACCACACCUCCGGGGGCUGCCACGCGGGGUCAUGUUGGUACCAAGGUUCUCUGUGGGGUGCAGGGAUGACCACUGGAGAAAAGGCCAGCCCUGCCUUCCGCUGCUGCCUCAGGCUGGUCCCCGUGCCUCGCUCAGGCGGGCCAGUGACCCUCCUCACCAGCCAUGGCUUCUCUUGUGACAGGCCCAACGGCAGGCCAGGUCCUGAACCCCGCAGGGAGGCCGGCCUAUCAGGUCUUCACAUGGCUGGGGGCACAGCCAGCCACCAGCAUCCUUGUGCUGUCCCCAUGGGGAAGAGAAGGGAACGAUGUGUUCAUAGACGCCAGGGCAAGUGGGCACGGGCAGCGCACGGAGGAAAAAGUGACUCCAAUCAGAAGGGGAGUGGGUCUUGGCAAUACACGUCUGGGUGGUCAGUCCCCAGAGGUGGGCACUGGGCUGAGCUCUCUCUCAUCCGACGCCACCCCUGGGUGACCUCCGUUACAUUUCCUAACCUCUUUGUGUGCCAAUCGCCUCGUCUGGAAAAAUGGGAAUGGAGGAGAGUUGUACCUACCCAGGGUGGUUCUGUGGGCAUUUAAAGAGCAACUUCAUGUGAGACGUGGAGUCCAUGUGUGGCCCAUGGUGGGCUCCAGGAAAUGUUGGUGAUGACAGGGAUGAGGGAGCAACUGAGAGCCGGCAGUGAGGUGACACACCCAAGGUCACGCCACCAGCAGAGGUAGCUGGUCACGCUGCUGAGAGCCGGCAGGAAAUAGAUGCGGACAAAGCAGGGUCGGUUUUCAGCUUCUCUCCACGGAAAGGCCGGCUGAAGUUUCCCUCACCACGCAGAAAUCGAUAAGCAGGAGGUUUUUAAAAACCACCUCCCCAUUGAACCUGCCACUGCCGGAGCUGAAGGCUGUGCGUUUUGUGGUCCGCUCUGCCCCAGGGCCACUUAGGGUGCGUCCACGCUGGGUGUGCCAGGCAUGCACGUGGGCUGCAGACGCCCAGGAGGCAGAGCCGAGCCUGCCAAGGUUAUGCGUGCACCUCUCAGCUCCCUGCUUAACACUGCGUUCCCGGGAGAGAGAUUUCUCCCUGGCUGCUUCACAUCCAGAGGAGAACAUCAGCUCUCAGCAGAACAUAAGGCAAGUGUGAAAACAACUUUUUAUCUUUUAAAAUUUUUGUUUAUAUUUAUGUAUUUAUUUUUUGAAAUGGAGUUUCGCUCCUGCUGCCCAGGCGGGAGUGCAAUGGCGCCAUCUCAGCUCACCACAACCUCUGCCUCUCAGGUUCAAGCAAUUCUCCUGCCUCAGCCUCCCGAGUAGCUGGGAUUACAGGCAUGCACCACCACACCCGGCUACUUUUGUAGCUUUAGUAGAGACAGGGUUUCUCCAUGUUGAGGCUGGUCUCGAACUCCUGGCCUCAGGUGAUCCGCCCGCCUCAGCCUCCCAAAGUGCUGGGAUUACAGGUGUGAGCCACUGCACCCGGUGAAAACAGCUUUUUAUGCCAACUGGGGCUCACUUCCAGGGGAGGCCUUUCCUGGAGGCCCCCAUUCACUGCAAUUCCUCAGCCUGGCUUGGAGUCAUACCAUCCCUCCUAUCAAGAAACAUUGCAUCUGCAGCGAUCCCCCAGAGUGAGUGGCUGGGGGGCUGCGGGAGGAGCAGGGGAGGUGCUGGAACACGUCAGGUCAUCAGCAGUGUUGCUGAAAAGCUUGGCCAGGAAACCCAGAUCAGCCACCAAGAACCUGAGGGCCAGCACAUGGGAAGAAGAAAAAUAAGGUGGUUUUUCUGGGAUUUUUGGGAAUAUUUGGGCCUCGACCCUGCCAGGAUAGGUUAGGUGGUGCAAUGGUCACAAGCCCCAAGUCUUUGUGGCUGAUAGCAACAGAAGCUUCUUUCUUGCCCACAGUAAGCAUCCGUCGUGGUUGGCAGGAGACUGAUCGUGGUCAUCUAUCCAGGACUGGGUUGACAGGAAGCCACCAUCUUAGACUGUCAGCUUCCAUUUCAGAGGGAAGGAGCCCUGUGGACGUUCUCACACCAGCAUUCAGAAGCUCUUGCUGGGAAGUGUCACAAGUCACCUGUGCUCCCUGGCUAGGAGUAGUCCGUUGGCCACCCAAACACCUGGGGGCUGGCCAGGAAGGCAGUCACACAGGGGCCCACCAUGGGUCUGCCCAGUUCUCAGGCACCAGACCACACCCAAGCAGGACCCCUCCUCCCCUGCUUCCCCCUCCUGUCCCCACCAAAGCCACAUGGCAGGCAGAUCACAUGUCACAGAGCUCAGGGCCAGGCCUGCCCAGAUCCUGAGGCUGGGCCACCCCUGAGAGCUUCCUAUGUGAGAUGUCCACUUUUUUACAUUUAAAUUUUACUUUUAAAAUUCUAAAUUGAUAAAUUACAGUUGUAUGUAUUUAUGGGUACAAAGUGAUGUGAUGACUGAUGAAUACAACGUAGAAAAUUAAAUCAAGUAAUUAACAUAUCCAUCCCCUCACAUACUCAUCACUUGUUGUGGUAAGGACAUUUGAAAUUUACUCUCCUGGUGAUUUUGGAAUGUACAAUACAUUAUUACUUACAUAUUUACCACACUGUGCAAUGUAUCUCAAAGAAAAGAAAACUUAUGGUGCACACCUGUAAUCCCAGCCUUACAGGAGGACAAGCGCAGGAGGAUCCUUUGAGCCCAGGAGAUUGAGACCAGCCCGCGCAACACAGCGAGACCCCAUUUCCUAAAAACAAAAACAAAACAUAUAUUGCUCCUGCCUAACUGAGACCCUGUGCCCUUUGACUGUCAUCUCCUCACUCCCCUCACCAGCUCUCCCACAGCCUCUGGCACCAUUCUGCUCUCUGCCUCUUUAAGUUUGAUUGUUUUCCAUCCCACAUACAAGUGAGAACCUGCGGUAUUUGUCUUUCUGUGCCUGGCUUAUUUCACUCAGCAUAAUGUCCUCCAAUUCCAUCUAUCUUGUCACAAAUGACAGAACUUCUUUCUUUUUUACAGCUGAAUAGUAUACCACUGUGUGUAUACACCAUACUUUAUCCAUUCAACCGUUGUUGGAUGAUUAGGUUGAUUCCGUAACUUUCGAAUAGUGCUGCAGUGAGCAUGGGCAUGCAGACCACAUGUCUGCUUUUGAUCUUUUGAACAAGGACUCAGACCCCAGUGACUCACACAUUUUCUUAUUAAAAAAAAAGUAUACGUAUAAAUUAUAUAUGUGUACAUAUAUGAUAUAUACAUAUGUUAUGUGACCAUAUCUAUACACACAUGUAUAUACACACAUACAGCAAGGGUCUCCAAAGACUUCAAACUAUAUGUAUGUAUAUAUAUAGAUAGAUGUGCACACCACUGCACCCGGCCAACUUUUGUGGUUUUUUUUUAGUACAGAGGGGGUUUCGCCAUGUUGGCCAGGCUGGCCUCGAACUCCUGACCUCAGGUGAUCUGCCCACCUCGGCCUCCCAAAGUGCUGGGAUUACAGGCAUGCACCACCACGCGCAGCCUAACUAUCUAUCUAUAUAUAUAUAUACGUAUAGAUAGAUGGACAGAUGUUCCUUGCAGCUUUCCUUUGGAGAUGGCUUACAGCUCUGGAGAGAACCCGGGGUCCCAGCACCUUUGCCAUUAUAACCCAUGAGACCUAAGGGUCAGCGAAGGGGCAAAGAGGUCCUGGAAACCAUCUUGCAUCAGUAUAGUCCCUCAUCAGAGGAAUAAAGUGGAGCCUCAGGAGGUAAAGGACGGCUGGUGUCACCAGCUAGAUCAGGGAUGUGUUGACUCCCAUUCCAUCGGAGGGAUCUGGGACCCUGCAAGUGACGCUGAGGCGUGGUCCUGCAGCAUUCCCGGGUCCCCCUGGAUUGCUGCACCGUGUCUCAGCCUGAACUGGACCACCUCUGCUCACACUGCAUGCAUGUUACUGCCUGUGACCGGAAGCACUCUAGUCGGGUUGCCCAUCCCCUCACAUACUCAUCAGCUUUAUUUCUUGCCACUUGCAAGAAAGUGAGAGCCCGAAGAGUAAUGCCCAGGCAGUAAGAGAGGCGAAGCAUCUGAUAGAGCCUUCUUCCCACUUUUAUCUAAUCCGAUCCAUUUUCAGUAGCUUUUCUGCAUAAGAGAGCCUCUUCACAUGGACAUCCAUGCAUCCACCCACGCGUCCACCCACGCGUCCACCCACGCGUCCACCCACGCGUCUACCCAUGCGUCCACCCAGUCGUUCAAAACACAUUUUCCUUUCCUUCUAGUUUACUGAGCACCUACUCUAUGUCAGGUGCUAUAUUCACCAGCUUACAGUAGAAUGAUGACCAAGUGAAGAUGUUGGCCCUAAGGAAAAUAAGUGGCUGCUCUUUGAUUCUUCCAGGGAGCAGAUUUUGAUUAGAGAAAGGAGUCCAAAUAGUACAAGGCAGGAAAGACGGGAGGGGCACAGAACAGUGAGGUUGAGGCUGCAGAGAGUGGGGAGGUGGUUGCUAAAAGACUCUUCACUUACAAUUCACGCAGCAAAACUGACCACCUGCCAAACUCCAUCCGGGGAGAGGUCUGGGUGCAGAGACCCCCAAAUAGCCUAGGCAGACAGGUGUGGGGCCACCCUCAGUGCAAGGCGAGGGCUUGUGGGGUCCUUCCAGAGGUUGCUGAAGGUGAUGAGCUGCCAUGAAAGAUGGUAACGUCUUUCCCGUAGGCACAAGAGGAGAAAACAGUGCGUGGUGCAUAGAGACCUUUGCAGUGCAGAAGGGGUUAUUAUUAUUACAAGCCAGAUGUGCCCCACUUGUUACUGAAUCAUCGGGUUGACUCUAAGUUUUAAAAUCCAAUUUCCAGGCCCUCUUCACCUGCCAGCUGGGCAACAGCAGUUACUCUCAUUGGAGACCCUUUCCCUUCGCCACUUCCCAGGCUACUCCAGACUGAAUGCAUUCAGGGAGUCACCUCCCAGGUCAAAACCUGCUGUGAUACCAUCACCCUGCAGCACAGACCACAGUCCCAAGCCUCCCAUUCUUGACUCUAACACCAGCCCAGCCUGACCUGCUGCAGGGUGUGGCCUGUGACCACAUCUGUGCUCCGUCCACGCUGCUUCGUCCAGCCUCCCACGCCGAUCCCCAGAGUAGCUCCCCGGGAUGCUCUCUCCUCAUCACUGCAUCUGCCGCCCGCCCAGGCCCUCUGACUUUACCCUCCCGCAGGCCCCUCCCGUCUGAGGUGCUCUGGAAUGCCUGUGGUGUGAUUGUGCAUGAACUUUUACGUGCCUGCGUCCAUGCUCGAGAGCGGUCUUGCCUGAACCACCUUGUCUCAAUAAUCAGCAUGAAACUCCUCAAAAGAAACAGAGAGGCCCCUCAGAACAUCACGGAAAAGACGAUGGCUCCAAAACAGCUAGAUUCUAAUCCCAGCUCUGCUGCGGGGCGCGGCCUCGGGCACACCUGUGCUCCGUGCAUGUGACGUGACUCUCAAAAGCAUCCAUUUCCUCAUCUGGAAAACGGGACAGUUCCUGGACUCUGCGCACCUGGAAGUGACCAUGAGGGUCAAAUGUUUCUCAAACUGCAAAUGCUUUUCAGAUGCUGGCGCCGUGACCAAAGACCUGGCUCUUACAUCUGCUCUGUUUUCAUGGGACACAGCCCUGGGUAUACAGUAGGUGCUUAAUGCAGGUGACCGUGAGGAAGGGCUGUGGCCCGUGGAGGGCAGGCAGGUGGGAUUCAGCUGAGGUCCUCAAAGGCUGCACUAUGGGAAAGGCUGAGCGGCAGGAAAGGGACAGACAGGCCCUCCUCCUGGGGCCCAGGGCUGGGAACCAGAGCCCCUCCUUUGGCCACUCUGAGGUGGAAGAACAAGGAGCACAUAGGAGGAGUGGCCCAGGCUCUCCACCUGAGGACAUUCGGAGGACCUAGAAGCACUGGCAGAGCCUGAACGUGGCACCGUAGCCUCCUGCUGGCUGGAGAUGUGUCUGGGCGGUGUGUCUUGGCAUGGAAUCCACAGCCAGCUAGCCUGAGGCGGGGAUGGGGCCAGGACCCCCGGCUGUACAGACGGAGAGCCAGAGGCGGUUGCAGGUUCCCAACCGACAGCGGAGCUGAUGAGUGGCGGGGCUUUCAUUUGUUGACAGGAGAUGCAUGUCUGAGGCCAGAGCCAACUUCUUCCAGGGAGCGGCUUCCUUCCUCCUCAAAGGACACAGGGGACACAGAUGUCCAGGAGGCUGUUUAGAGAGGGCCCGAGUGGUGAGCUGUGCAGGGGUCCUCACGCCCCGGCCCCGUCUUGGAUAUGGGGCUGGAGACUUAGGAAGUGAGUGCUGGGUCCUGGGGUUCCCUCAUCCGCCUUCAGGAAGAUGUGAAGGGGCUUCCUGCGGCCUUUGGCAGCAUUCAUCCCAAACCCCAAAGCCUCCUUCCCCUGGCUCCGUGGCAGGAGCAGUUGCAUUCUCCUGUCUGAGAGGGGCCACCUCCUUCCCACCUUGCCCUCUAAGUUGGCUCAGGCUGCGCAGGGCUCAGGCUGAGGUCCAGACCCUCAUGCCAGCUUGGUGCUUGGCCAGAGCUGCAAAAUUGGAGCUGGGCUGCCAGGGGGAGGGCACCGCUGAGGCCUUCUAGGCCCAGACGGGCUGAGAGAGCCCCCGCCCCCCACCCCAGCCUCACCCUCCACCCGAGGCCCCUGUCAUGGGUGUGGGUGACUCAGAGGAAGUUCUGGUUUCUGUCAGAUUUUGAGGCUGAGGCAACCUGAUCCUGAAACAAUGACAAGCCUCAGAACGGUCCUUCCCACUCCCUCAGAGGAGCGUUUCAGGCCUGGCCAAUAACACAGCAGAACGGAAAAUGACUUUGGGAAGGAAAGGUCAGGCGGCUAGGCCUCCCAUGGAAGGCAGCAGGCGGUUGCUCAGGUCAGAGGGCCAAGUGGCGCGGUCUGUGGGCACCGGCAGCUGGCAGUGACCCUGCAGAUCAACCUGGGCCCGGGCUGCAGACACCAAGCAGGGGCACCUGCCUGGCCUGGCUGCCUCAUGUGGCCCCCACAGCCUUUGUCAGGACACCUCAGGACAGUGGCCUGGCCUCUAGGCCAGUGGGCCAGCUCGGGGUGCUAAAGCCUAAUUUGCCUGGAGCCCCGGGCCACUCAUAGAUUCAGGAGGAAGAGGUGGGGUAGAGGUGGCAGAGGGAGAGCAGAGCCUGGCACACAGCAUUUGGCACCAUAACUGAGGCAGCUGCUUUCCUUAAGGAGCUGCCACUGACAGGAUCAGCACUUACAGAGCCCCUGCUGUAUGCCAGGAAGUACAUUUAUUAUUGCUUCUUGUCACAUUGGCCCUGCCAGGUAUGUACCCCAAACAUUAGCCUCAUUUCACAGAUAAGAAAAUUGAGGCUUCCGUGAUUAAGCAGAGGCUGUGAUGUCCCAUCCAGAGCCCCAGCCACCCAGCUCUCCUGCAGGACAGGAGAUACCUACUAGCCUGCUUCUCGAUUAUUCUUUUCUUCCCUGCCACCUUGGGAAUAUCCCUCCCACUUGCAAGCACAGGUCGGCUAUGCCAGGGGAGUCUGUGCCCCAGGGCCCCUUCAUCCAUGGGGAUGGGAGUCUGUAGAAAUGCUCACCUCCGCCCUCUCCAGUGGGGACAUUGGAGGCCUGUGUCCCACAGUCUCCCUGAGGGCCCAGUGGGUUGAGCCCAUUGCCCGCAGUGGAAACCCCUCAUUCAUGGACCUGUCUCCCUCCCCUGCCUCCCCCUCCACCUCCACCCCUGCCCUGCCCUUCCUCGGAUCACUUCAUGCACCCAAGUCCUCAUUGCAGUCUGCUUGAGGGGGAUCCCACAUGUAGCCAUGCCCCUUCCAGGCAGAGAGAAGCAGCACAGGCCCCUGGCUGAGUGUGCCACGGCGGGUGCAGCAGGAGUGCAAACGCAGAGUUCAACUCGGCAUCCAGCUGGAACCCAUGUUAACUUGCGUUUGACCAGCGUAAGAGAGACAAGAAGAUGAGUAGAACUGUAGCAGUCAAAAUGCUUCAGCUGCAGGUAAUAGGAAGUCCAGCUCAAACCGGUUUAAGCGGAGGCCAGGGGCUGCAGGGUGGGCAUCUCCCAUGGCACCUGCUCUGGUCCCUCAGUCCCCCUGAGUGGUGCACACUUCCCUCCACAAGGUGUGUUGCCGGGUGGCCACGGCUGUCCUGGGCUCGCAUUUGCUCAUGACAGUGUCUGGAGAGCUCCGCCUUUGAGGGCUCUUCCUGGGGCCUCUAACGAGAGAGGACUGGGGGGACCACGACAAAAAAUAUCUGGGUUCUUGAGACAGCAGAAAAGGUGGUGGAAGCUGGGUGAGUAGCCAGAC
rnacentral:lncRNA from 1 species